UUAUGAUAAAGCCAAAAGAGG
rnacentral:miRNA from 1 species